rnacentral:rRNA from 1 species
UACAUGGGGUGCAAACGUUGCUCGGAAUUAUUGGGCGUAAAGAGCUCGUAGGCGGUUUGUCGCGUCUGCCGUGAAAGUCCGGGGCUCAACUCCGGAUCUGCGGUGGGUACGGGCAGACUAGAGUGAUGUAGGGGAGACUGGAAUUCCUGGUGUAGCGGUGAAAUGCGCAGAUAUCAGGAGGAACACCGAUGGCGAAGGCGGGUCUCUGGGCCGAUACUGACGCUGAGGAGCGAAAGCGUGGGGAGCGAACAGG